CAUAUUAUAUGUGCGUUUUAACUUACACUUGUAUAUUUUUAAAUUAACGUUGUUACUUUUUUAUGUGAUGGUACGAAACCAUAUGGCGCUGAUGGUAGUCGACAAAGUCAUGUCUGUAUAAGGUUUAUGAAGUUUUAGGACAGUGAAGGUUUUCGAACGGGAAAUCUGUUACAGUUUAAAGGUAUUCCGGGACACAAUUGGAAAGAUUUCUUCUUCAUAAAAUUAUGCUGUCUAAUCAUAUAACAGUGGUGCCCUCUAUUGCUUCGUCAAGAGUUACGAGCCUGUCUUUGUUGAACACAAAGACCUGUUUACUGAACGACUUGCGAGGACAACGGACGACUUUACGUGCUCCCUGAAGCACAAAGCAAAUAAAUCAUUAUAUAUAAAGUAAAUGAAUUAUUUAUUCAUAUAUAUAAUAAAAACCCAGUUUAAAUGCAUGCGUUGCAUAGCAAUAGUAAAUAACAUUCAAAUGGAGAUUAUAAAAAAUAUAACGGUCAAUAGACAAAUAUAUUAAGAGCUUUUAAAAUAAGUCACUUACAUUAUGUACGAAUCUUACUUUAGAAUAAAGUGUUUUUUUUUUUUAUUUUUAAAUAAAUUGAGAACUAUGUAUAAUGUAUUUAAAUUUUACUUAAUCAGGCAGAAUUAGUAAGUGCAGGCGCAUUAUUUGGACUUCUUGAAUCCCAAAUCUUAUUUUAACUAAAACCUAUAUUAUGAAAAUAGGUAUCAGACAUUUUAAAGAUUCUGUCUACGUAUUUGAAGUACGUAUUAAGUAUAUUAAUUAACGGAAAUGAGAAAUCUGUAGUUAGCACUGUUUGAAGCCAGUAAGCACGUGGGCUUCCAAGGUUAAGGCAAUGCACUAUGAGGGCGUUGGGCAAUUGACAUUCAACAGAUCUUUCAAUACCUACCAUGGAAAAAAACAGUAAGUAGCUAUUGAGUACGCCAGUACCUACGUGUGGGUACCCAUAUUUCGAUGUGAUGUAUAUAAUAAUUAGGUAGGUAUAUAUAUUAACGAUGGAAAGUAGGUAUAUAUUUAUGAGUAAUAAAAAUGAUAUUUAUUAUUACUUGUUUUUUUAUUAUUUUACAAUUUGUUUUUCAUUACAUUUUGAAUAUAAAUUAUUUUAUUGAUAAAUAAAUUGUAAUAAUAAGAUGACUAUAUGAUGAGACGUCAUCGAUUAUUUCAACGAAUCUAUUUCGUUCUAUGUAGGUGCUUAAAUGACGUCGACCGGACAUAAGAUUAGGCCGAAGACGGAUGUGCCGCCAUUUGCAUGCGCGACGCGGACUCAGCAACAAUGCGCAGAGGGGAAUGGAGUAGAGUACAUGGAUGUAUCAUGCUGGUUGGCGGGUGGCAGCGCCGCGCCGCACCGCGCCGCGUCGCCGCACGCCUUUGUCGAUGGUGACUCACGCAUGCUGACAGUCAUGCAGGGCAAGCUGGCGACAUCUCUGAAUCAUUGCACCGCACUGAACCAUAGUAUUAUGCAUAUGCACAUACUGAUGCCGUAGCGCAGGUAACUGAAUCAACCAUUGUAUUCUAUUCACUAUUGUGCAGCCGAACUUUUUAAGUCCUCAUAAGUGAUUGUUAAAACGUUAUUGUUACACACUAUCAAUGGGUCAGUUUAUUUAGAUAGGAAUAUGUGGUGUAGAUAGCAGGCGAUGAAUGUAGGUAUAUAUCGUGUUGGUAUCAAAACCUUAGUAAAAUAUCGACCUAUUUCAAAAUUGUGGCGGUAUUUAACUAAAUUUAGAGUUAAGUUGAUAAUUUAUAAAG